GAGCCAUCUUAGGGUGUGGCCGCUUCACAGAGUGGUCACGGGGACCCCUGUCCUCCGCUGUGUUGGGACUUCGGGUACUUGGAACUCACCAGCGGGUGCAGAUGGGCACCACGCUCACUGCCUUCCAUGCCUGCCUGCAGCCUCCCCAGGAUCUGCACCAGAGAGCGGGCAUGGGUAGCCCAGAAGCCACAGCUGUCGCCAGGGACCAGAGGCUGGACACAGAUCCAGAGAGAAGACCUGGAUUCAUUGGGCUCCGCAAUCAUUCAGCUCAACCUUGACACCAACCUGAAAAUGCAGACAUCCAAGCCGGGCUUGGGCAGACUUGGAGAAGGAAGCUUGGACUCCUACCCAGUCCGUGCUAGUCAAAAGCUCUACCUGAAGUCAAGUCUGGGUACCAGUGGCUACAAUUUACAGUCAUUGCUAGGGCUUCAGAUCUUGUGUAAUGGGGACAGAUGCCAUUCUAUGAGGACCAGAGAUUCCAGCCCCCAAGACUGUAAAGGUUUUCAGUCUGGUCCAUUUACCACAGCUCCAUCUCUCAGGUAGCAUAUGGACCUCCCUCUUGUCCACCUGAGGCUUUUGGCCCAGUGUUUAGUUACCAUGGUUACCAAUGUGCUUGCUUUAGCUGGUCUGAUGGCAAUUUCUGCUGUUCUAAAGAGAAUAUUUAUGAAUGCUUCAAGAGAAGUGCAAUGCAGAAUAUGAUCUCCUACCACACACCUCUGUCCCCUCUCAUGGCCACUUACAGUCUCUGCACUGCUGAGAGACCUCGAGCUAACAUCUCUUUGUUCAGCUCUGCCCAGUCUGGGUCGGGACAAUGUUCUCACCCAGAAGGGAAACCGGAGCUGGGAGCUGGGAGGUCGGCACACGCAGCCACAUCCCUGAGCGCUGGGAUGGAGAGCCUCAGCUCCCUGUCAUUGCUGACCACAUGUUCUUGGUGUGGCAAAGGGGACACGGGGUGGGGCCACUCAGACCCUACACACUUCACAGAACUCAUCCUCGGGAACCCUGGGAUAUGAGGCGUAAGCUCCUAGAGUGUCUCACUGUGGCCGUUCUGGAGAAAGAGGAACCACGGCAGGGAGAGACACACACACACAAUACUGUCAAACCGUUUGAGACACCGGAUCUCCAAGAACUAAAAUUUCCCCCAGAGUCUCGUCUCCCAGGAAGAGGUUUCACACAGUUCCCACAACUUGUCUGAAAGACUAGAGCCCAGACAAUGGUGGUGGGACUACACCUUGAACCAGACUGCUUAGCUAUGCAUACCGCCCGCCCUUUAUUUAAACCUGAACCUCGUGUGAGUUCCCCAAAGACAGACUUGGGGCACUUAUUUCUUCCCAAUAUGGCCACACUGGACACUCCUCCGCUUUCAGCUUCUCAUUAUUAUCUGUCUCUUUAACUGGUAUAUUGAGGACAAAUGGCGAAACUUAAUUUAUUGUGGCUGCCAGGGCCUGGGCUUUGACUCUAAUUAUUGUGGUCACAUCGCCAUGUGAUGAGCAUUAAUUUGUCCACCUGGGCCCGAGUGACGCCACUAGCAGGUGGGAUUAUGGGCUCACCUGGUUCUGCAUGUCUGAGCUCUGGGUCAGGCUCUAUAUUUUUGAUCGUUGAGGCCUGGGAUCUGAGAAGCCAAGGAUGGAUGACUGACCCCCAGUGACAACCCUGGAUUCUAAGGCUUGAGUAGCCUUUACUGGGGGACACCCCCUGCCCCCAGUAUUAUCAUAUACAGAGACCAGGCCCAUGGCCACUCAUGGACAGCCAGGCCAGUGUCUUCCUCUCCGCCCAGUGUCACAGAGAGUUGGGGUUCCUUCGGGGUGAGUGGUAGCUUAAAUAUACAUCACGAGUAAUGUGGCCCUGCCUGGCACGUGGUGAAAGAGCAGUAGAUGGUGACAUGGAAAAAUCCUGCCUGUAGGGCUGAGAGAUGGCCAGGUCAGUGAAGAGCUUGCCACACAGGCUCGAGGACCCGAGUCUCAUCUCCAGGACCUAGGUAAAAAGCCAGGCCCAGAGGGGCGGGGAGCGAUUGCGGACCACCGGUACCAGAAACCUAGUUCUGUGCAGGAGCUGCCAAGCUGGCUAAAAACGGAGAUGUUCCCUAUGGGAGUCAUGGCCCUCUUAUGGGAGGAGCUUGGGGAGAAUUCAGAAAGGAGCUGGGUAAGCCGAGAGGUGGGCUGUGUCAAGCAGACGCCAGGCUGAUGAGAAGGAAGGGUGGACUGGGAUGCAGGAGCCUGGACAGGGCCUGGGAGUCUGCAAAUCUAUGGGAUGUGCAGACUCCAGACCGGGACAGCUCACGGCAGGCUUGUCGGGAGGACACGGAGUACCCUGAAAAACCACUGGCACUUCGGAAGGGAAACCAGCCUUUGCUCGGGUCAUGGCCACGGAGGUAGAGGUGCUCUCUGAACUUGAGAGACAUCUGCCGUGGAGCCUAGGGACAAGCCGCACAGUGGACUCCUGUGUUUAAUGUGUCUGUGAUGUCUGCAAGAGCCAGGCAUCACAGGGCUCCCCUCCCAUGGCCUCUGGCCCCUGCCUGCCCCAUGUGCUUGAUCCUAGCUUACACUGAACUCCUUCUUGUGGAUUACUUGUGCUGAGUCAAACGGUACCAGGAAGAGCAAAGGGAACGCAAACAGAACCAGGAUGUUUACUAGGACCUGGGAGCCGCCUGUGUACAGAGACAUCAUGAGCUCAGGCCCUUGCCUAGCAUUCAGAGGGCCCUUACGUUCCAGCCCUGGAUCCCACAUACACACCAACAAAACCAGCAGGAAAACAACAGACUCCUUAGCUUUCCGCAGCCCUUCCGUACCCGAGUGGGGCAGCUGAGGCGCUUCACAAAACAAAUGGAAUAAAUUAAAUUUGUAAACUCUGUUUAAAAUGUCUGAGGGAAAUUUAAUUAGCAGGAUUGAUGGCGAGGUUUACCUGGCUGGGAGUUGGUCAAACAUGAAUCAGGGGCCCCUUCAAACAUGAUUUGAAAAUUCCCAGAUGUAUGCUAAAUAAAUAAAUAAGAUUCCUAAGUUGAA